UACGGGGGGAGCAAGCGUUGUUCGGAUUUACUGGGCGUAAAGGGCGCGUAGGCGGUCAGCACAAGUCAGUUGUGAAAUCUCCGGGCUUAACUCGGAAAGGUCAACUGAUACUGUGCGACUAGAGUGCAGAAGGGGCAACUGGAAUUCUCGGUGUAGCGGAUGAAAUGCGUAGAGAUGUGGAGGAACACCGAUGGCGAAGGCAGCCCCCUGGGUCAACAUCUGACGCUCAUGCACGAAA
rnacentral:rRNA from 1 species